AGAGAGUUCAUAGUACGUGAAACCGUUCAGGGGUAAACCUGAGAAACCCGAAAGUUCGAAUGGGGAGAUUCAGCGUGUAUCGUUGUUGGAGAGGUUUGGUCGCGUGACGAUCCGGUGCUUGCACCUGGCUGCGCCUUCUGAGCCCAAUUCCUUCCGCGAGCGCGUGCACUUCUCCCCUAGUAGGACGUUGCGACCCGUUGGGCGCCGGUCUACGGCCGACGGUGUAGACUUUUGGUAGUUCUUCGGAUCGACCUUAAGACCCGUCGUGUCCCGGCCGUCCCGCUCGACGGUAGGACAGAAACGUGGGGUCGCGACUAGUUCGCGUCCGGCCCGUCACAAGUAUGGGCGAUCGCUUGGAAGCCGGACGUAUGUGCCGGCCCCGGGCACGACCUGCUGCUGGUGGCGGUGUCCUCGGACAGACUUCGAGCACGUUGGUCGGCGACGCUUUAGCUUUGGGUACUUUCAGGACCCGUCUUGAAACACGGACCAAGGAGUCUAGCAUGUGCGCGAGUCAUUGGGACUUGAUAAACCUAAAGGCGAAAUGAAAGUGAAGACAGGCCUUGCGCCUGUCGAGGGAGGAUGGGUCGGCUCCGGCCGCUACCCCGCACUCCCGGGGCGUCUCAUUCUCAUCACGAGAGGAGGCGCACCCAGAGCGUACACGCUGGGACCCGAA
rnacentral:rRNA from 1 species